rnacentral:rRNA from 1 species
AUGAAAACUAAAGAUUACUACCUGGCUGGCAGAAAAGUGAAUUUACAAUCUGGAGAUCUUGCUAGACUGUGGGUCGAUCCAGUUGGCAAUGAACCUCCCCUCCAGUUGCAGUUUCCUAUGAUUUAUGAUAUUUGCAAUGAUCAGGAUAUCACGGUUGCUAAGUUCAGGGAAGGGGAGGAGGAAAAAAACUUUUUUAGAAGGCAACUCCACCCUCCCAUGCUUGAGCAAUGGAAUAAUAUCAAAUCUAUAGUGGGGACUUGGCCGAUGACUGGCGAAGCCGACCAAGUG